GUGCUAACUGAAGCAGUCAGACUUAUUUGUCCACAAACAUCAUCAUGGUCUUUGAUCUUAUGACUGCAUUCUAUUUUUUCCUCCAGAGCAUUACCUUACACAGUGUUUGGAAAUGAGAUACAACAAAAAGCAGUACAAUUGCCUCACAGGUACCAUGAAUCACCUUUCCUAACUUUCAAGCGUUUGACUAUGCAAGUAUGAUGUUUCUUGAUAUAAAUUUUCAUAUGUACUUUUAUAUUAGCUCUUCUAUUGCCUUCUAGAUAUUUUCAAGAAAACAUUAUUAGGUAUACCAAAUCAAUUAUUCAGUGAAGCUUCUAUAACAUUUUAGCAUAUUCUGUGCCAACUGCACCAUAAAUGAAUAAUGAAGGCCAAGUUCAUAAUUUCCCAAGCUGUUACCAUCUUACAAAUUUUCUUUUAACCUAGAAAAAUGAACAAAAUACAAUCCAUAAACAGAAGUCUUCACAACAUCCAAACAUUUCUGUAAUGUGUCUGCUUUCUAUGCUGACUUUCCAUCUAUAUGAAAGAGAAUAAUAGAAUUUUAAAAUUAUAGAAUUAUUUUAAAUUUGAAAUGUUCACUGUAAGUAUAUGCCUCUAAGUUGUGAAGAACGUUCUCUUUUUCUCAUCUGCUAUUAUCCAUAUAGUUCUAUCACUCGCGAUGUCAAACUGUGAUUUAAAAUCUCUUUAUAGCAAAGAUGUAUUGUUUCCUUUAAAAUACAUGCAUCCAUUUAGUCUAUUAAUGAGGUCUCAACAGAAAUCUUAGCAUAGUCUCAUGUACAGGUCAUUUCAGUGUAAUGUUUGGCUAUUAUGUUAUUAACAAUUUUUCCAAUCUGCUCAAAUGAAAUCAUUAACCAUUAACCAUUCUGAGUAUUUGAAAUGACCUUCACAAAUGUUGCCAAAAUAUUUAAAAAAAAAAAAGGUUAGAAAAACAUCAUUCACUCCUUUCUUCUCUAUUGAUUCCCACUUCCUCAUCAUCACAAGCUGUACUUUCUUCAUCCAGUCCCAUCACUACUCUCCCCUACCUUAGUCAUUCCUCUCCUAACAUACAAACAGAACCCUCAGACUUCCCUCCCACACUGCUCUUCACAUUGAGGAAAAAGUUAUUCCUAAAUAUUUUCAAAGCUAGUAUUUCAAAAUACUCAUUUUCUGUUAUUCCUCCAAAACUCCCAUGGCGCAUCCCCUUUCCAAGUCCCUCCUUACUUAAUGAUUUAUGAAUAUAUUUUAAUACUAAUGACAAUAAUGUUUCUGAAUAGAAUCACCAAAAAAGCAGGAAAUAGGAAAAGCUAAAGCAGGAUUCUCUCCUUGGAUAGCAGUAGCAAAGAUCCUUGCAGCUUACAGUGCAUCACUGUCAACACCUUUGCUUCUCCCUAUGAGCUCCCUCUCCUGUAAAAUAGCUGCUUUUAAAACAAAGUAAAUGUAGCGUGGUCAGCCUCUCGUGUUUAGAAAUCUUUGAAAGGGUGACUGUGCUGUUAUUCUGGGAAAACUUGUAUUUACACUGUAAAAAGUGAGGUCUGACCUCUCCUGAAGAGAGGCCUCUCCCUGCUGAACUCACCAUGGAGUGGAGGACAGCUUUGCUGCCACAGUUUUAGACUGCAACUAAUGCAAACCAUCUGUGAAGCAGAAGCUUUUGAAAGAGGCCACUCAUUUUCUACUGAGGUUUUAAUUUUAUGAACCUAAGGCAUCUGAGUUACAGUUCGCUGAGAACAUUCUCUCCCUGGCCUUUAUUUUCUGUGACUUCAGAUGGAUUCACUAUCUGCGUAACAAAGCGUGGCCCACAUUUCUGAAGUGUAAAUUGAAAUUUGCCCUUCUCAUACAUUUCAUCACCAAAUACUUAAAGAAUCAGGCUUAAAAUAAAACAUGUCACUUCCUUUGCAAAAUUCAUGCACAUAGAGCUAACUAUUCAUGCCAAAUAGAUAUUUAUGGGCUCAUAUAAAAAAUGUAACAGACAAACUGGCACACAAUUGCAAGAAAUUCAGGCACCUCUUUGAAAACAUUAUCCAGAUACUAACAAGAGCCAAAAUGUUUUGAGCAUAAUGGAACAUUUCAAUCAAUUAAAUAGUCAGAUUUUACUUUGUCUCAAGCAUAAGCAAUUCAUUCCACAAACAUAAGCAACACAUAUAUUUAGCCCAUUUCAAAUCAGUACUGCACAAAGAUAUGACACUUUCUAUUCAUUCAUUAUUUGACAGCUGAUCAGAAAGGACUCUACAAAGAAAACAAAUGCUCAGCAGUAGCAAAGAAUUUCACUGCGUAGGUCCUUGGCCCCAAAUUUAUGUCUGCACUGAACUCAAUACUGCUUUGCAAUUCCUUGGCAAAGGAAAGUUAUCUCAGUUACGUAACUGAAUUUUCCUUUGUAAUGUAAAAAGUAUUUUGUGGGUAGAUGAAUUUGGCUAUUAAAAAAAUGGUCAAAUCUUUUCCUGCCCAACAACAGUAUCUGCAUAGUUUUAACUGUUGUGCAAUUUCAUAGUUUCAUUCCAGCUGUCAUUUUAGCAAUAAUAACUGAAGAGCAAGGCAUUGUCUAGGAAUUAAUGACAAGCUGAGAAGAGAUGGCCUGAUGUGCAAUAAGGGGGUAACACAAGCUCAUGUGACUGCAGGAAAUGUGCUAUAAGCUGGCUGCCAUUGCUCUCUACAUAGCUUAUGGUUUUCUAUGUUAGCUAAUGCGCCAGCACAGUUUUCUCUUAGUAUUUCCAAUAGUUGAUUAAAUGAUAAGUUUAUUACAUUCCACAGAUUUCCUUACACAUUUGAUAACGCACUUGCUCCUACACAGGAUCAGAUUCCAUUCUGUUACACUAACGUGAAGUCCAAAAUACGUUCCAAGUGAACAGAAGGUCAUCAGUGCUAACAUUUGCAGGACUAUAACUCUAGUUUUCUCUUCACUCACAACACAAGGGACAGGAAAAUCAACACAUCAGAAGAGCAGCAGCAUGGAGGGGGGUGAUGGAUGAUACUCGUUACCAGCAAGACUGGAUGAAGCACUUACUGCCUGAACAAGUAACUGUUCGCAGUAUCAAGAAUCUCCUCCAGUAACCAGGCAUAAAUGAAGAAGUGUUAUAAAACUAGGCAUGGUAUCGCAGACGAAGAGAAACACACCAGAGAUUCAACCCGAAAGCGCUAGGGUUGAAAGACCACCUACUCUCCUUCUUUGAGUGGAUUCUGUUCUUGCUCAAGAUCCAGGAUACAGUUGGUAACUGCAGUUAAAAAUGAAAAGCUGAACACUACCCCACUGCAUCUGCAUCAUCUGUGUUUGUGGAGAAAAUCAACAGACUUGAGGAAAUCUGGCUUCAGAAGUGCCAAAAGAGCCAUCAGGGAGGUGAGGCUUCAACCUAACACACAUCCCAGCCAGAGCUUGUGUUGGUUCCAAAGAAACAUGAGAGCAAACCAAACAGCUCCAACUACCUGGGCACGUACUGAAGGAGAACUUUUGUCCUAGAGCCUUAUGAGACAAAAUAUUUGUCAUCCAAAAGGUCAUUAUUUCUUGGUGAUUGGCAUAACACACCUAUUUCCUGGCCAUGUAGUUCAUAAGCAAGGGGACUGUGAGGAUUUGCAGUCUGCACAAGCUGCUCCAGAUUCAUGGCCUGACCACCCACGCCUGCCUGCAGACAACUUCACUAUGUUGCUCUGGGAGCUGAUGAUGUUCAAUAGAAGCCAACAGCAGUCAAAAGUUAUUUCACUUAGGCACUUGAGGUAUUACCAACAUACAAUAUUCGCAGAGCUAGCUUGGAAAAAAGCAUUUUUUCCCUCACACUUUAAAAUGCAAAACUAAGCAGCAGACACUCCUGGAGAUGUCCUUCCUUGCUAAUGCAUUGCACUUCUCAGACUCUUCAAGAUCUCUCCUCUAUUUUGACAUGAUGUAAUAAAUAUUUUAUCCUUGAAGUGAGGGUAAAGAGCUUGACUCUUAAAGCCUGUCCCCUGAAAUUCGAUUUUAUAAAAGUAUUUAAAUAAAAAAUUGCACCUUCAGCUGUUUAAUCCCAUCAGCCAGAGUCUCUGCCUGGGGUCACAAACGGGGUGACCAACAGGGCUGAUGUGAACUUGGCAAAAGUCCCAAUGGUCCUGGAGCUUGGGUGGCAUGGAGAGUUGCUCGAUUGGAUUAAGGAGAUGGAACAAUUGCCUCCCUGCCCCCAGGUGCUGCAGCGUGGGAAAGCACGGAGUGCACAUUCCUCAGUAGCACUCAGCACAGGAAGGCUCCCAGCUUCUCACUCAAUCCUUUCACCAGCACUCAACAAGGUAAAUAAACUGCAUGGUCAGGGAGCUUCAGACUGUUCCCUUCAUGAGCAAGAAGGGUAGAAAUAUUUGUUUACAACAGGAAGAAACAUUUACUUCUCCUUUUGCCUUUGAGUAAGCACCUGCCAGUUGCAGAAACAGUUUUCCUUUGUUUUCUUUUUGUGUUGACGACUUAGUGAUCUGGCUGAAGUAAUCUGCCUAGCAUAAAAAUCUGAAUGAAAAGAAGCAAAUUUAUCUAAAUCCAUAGCAUCACCCUAGAAGACAUUAUCUGAAAGCACCUUGGGCACAUUCAUGCUCGUACACUCAUGCAUAAAGUUUUUUUCAGCCAGUUUUGGUACAACGUUCUCAAUUGUCAGUAUUCUUUACAAGUGUAACAUUUUCAAGUGCUGAUGAAACAAAACUUGUUUGUCUAAACCUCUUAAUUGAACAAAGGGGCCAUCUUAAAAACUUCAGUCCCAAAUGAGUCAAGAGUUUGCCUUCCCAAACAGCUCAGAUUCUUCUAAGCUAACACAAAGCACAUGUGGGAGCUGCAUUCUGGGAAAACAAAAAGCAACAGAAACCUAGACGAGAAUACAGAAAUGCAAUUCCAUGUGAAAAAUGGGUUAAAAGGAAUCACAAGUAAACUUUCAACAUUUUAAUUUACUUCCCACUUUUCUGUAUUUCAGCUUUAAAUCCUUUCGUGACUUUCCUGGUGAUGGCACAUCAACAAUGAGUCAGUGAUGGAAUCUGGUGUUUGUACAGCUUCUGAAAUGGAAUGACUAAAAAUAACUUUAAGUUUUACUUUUAGGAAUAAAGUGUAUUUUGACCUUCUUGGAUAUACAACAAAACAAAGUGUUACAGAGCUCCAAGCAGAAGGCUGUGUCAUUGAAGACAUAAGCAAAUCCAAUUCACUAUUAUAAAAUCGGUUAAUAUUUUGACAAUAAUAAAGCAGUUAUUCUAAACUUAUUCUUUACUCAGGAACCUUAGGGAAAAAAACAGCUGCUUUCAGCCCUGCUUUUCAGAACCUCACUUCACCUGGUAGCCUGCAGUUGUUCAAUGGUACCGGUACUUCAUGAGUUAAAACAGGUAGAUGUAUCAAACACAACAGUUUCUGCAGAAAGGCAAAGCUUGUAUUGGUCAUACACAAAGUUUUGCUAGGGUACCUCAGUGCUAAAUCCAGUACUUUUGCCAGAAAUUAAUUCCUUACGUUAGGAAAUACUAUUUUUCUGAAAGAGCGGUCAGGCGCUGGCACAGGCUGCCCAGGGAGGUGGUGGAGUCACCGUCCCUGGAGGUGCUCAAGAAACGUGCAGACGUUGUAUUGAG